rnacentral:ncRNA from 1 species
CGCAUGGGGAAAGCGAUCUCCCCACGAGGCGACAUGCCCAAGAAUCGCGUCCAGUUUUCGCCAAGGACGCAGCAUG